CCAGUAUUUUUCAUAGGAAACAAAUAGGUAGCCUAUAUGAACUGUAUAUAAUACAAAUUUAUUUUACAAGUUUAAGAGUACUUGGCAUUUUCUGCAAUGAAAACUCUAAAAAGAGAGACAGUGAGGCAUCUUUGUGGCUUCCUGUACUGAGACAGGCCCUGCCAUUAAUUUUUAUCCUUCUCUCACUCCUUACUGAACAUCCUUUGCUAGAAGAGACAAAGAGAUUCUCUAAUAGAGAUUGCUAGAAUUUAGAAAUAGCUCAAGUGAAAAUACAUAAGUGACAUUCACUUCUGUAGCUCAAAUAUUCAGCAGGAAUGUGGGGGCUUUGAAAAUAUUGAGGUGACAGAGUGGCAUAAAAGAGCUGUGUUGGAAAGGAAAAAACUGAAUUUAGCAAGUGCAACUUCUCGUUAAAAUUCUUGAAUUAUGUUAAUUUUUUUAUUUUAUUUUUCUCCUGGCAAAUAAGAACCACAAAGGACACAAAACAAGAUUUCCAAAUUAAAUUUGGACUUUAUAUAUAUGGAAGGAGCAAAUAAAGGAGCUUACUGGCUUCUGCUUUCCUUCCAGACUGUGACAGAUUCCUCACUUGAUGUGAACAGAACAUCUGCUCCCUGUCCAGUAUCCCUCUGCAUUUAAUUUGAUUGUGAUUCAUGUUUUGCCGAGGACUCAAAAGCUUUUGCAAUAAUAGCAUCUUCCUGAAUCUGCUCAGCUCUGUUUUGGCAGGUAUUGUGGGAAGGCAAAACAAAACUACAUUCCAUGGCUCAAAGAGUCAGCUGUGUGUCAUACCAUGGACCCCAGGGCUGGCAGAUAAAUGAGGUUUCUACCUGCUGCAGCGCUGAGUAAACAAAGGAGAAUAUUUACACUCAGCAACUUUUUGAAGAUAACUUCUAUUCUUCUCCAAUCCCAAUGACACGCAUCUCUUUUAGAUGAAUUAAUUUCUGCAACUUUUAUUGUCUGGCCUAUUCCUGGCUACAGAAUGAAAGUAUUGACCUUGACUCAAGAAAUCCAUAAAGGUAGAAGGAAUCAAUUUAAAAAAUAAAGUGCUUGUGAAGGAGAGGGUCGGGGCACAUGGAGGUCACCGGUGUGACCCUUCGAAGUAACUUCCACUGAAGUCCAGUUGGCAUCACACCCCGAAGGGAGGCUGCAGCACUUGACUAUGGGAUGGCAGCAAUCUGUGACGGAUCCAAUGUCCUGGAAUAAUCUCUUAUCUUCCAGAUGAAUGGCAUUGGGGGUGGAAAGAAAGAACUGAGACUCCAGCAGAAGAAUACAUCAAGUAAAAGAGCAGCUUUUGCUGGAGUGAAGCAGAUGUGAUGUGGUGUAAUGUUGCUUUCCAGGUUGAAAAACUCCUACCUAGAGAGUUUCCUGAACAGAAGCGUGAAGCCACUGCUUUGUCCAUAAAACAGAAUAGAGAUUUGGCUUCUCCACUUCUGCUGGUUCUAACAGGAAAAUUAUCCCCAGAACCUAGUGAGGAAGAACAUUGUGGCUUGUCAUUUGAAUGCCAGAGUUGCAAGUGGAUUUACUAUAGGCAGUUAUAAAUUGAGAAGGAGUUGAGGCCACAUCUGUUCUCUGCUGCUCCAUUGCUGCACUGGGUGACUAGAAGAAACCACUGAUAACAGCAACACACAUCUGUAAGUCUCCAGAGUGCCAUCUGAGGGAGCAAGUGCCUGCUGAGGAGAGCUCUGCACCUCAAAAUAUAUGCCCUUGACAGCCUCUGAUUCCCAAGGAUAAAUUCCCAAAGGAGGCUCCAAAGGAGGCUACAUCAGUUAGACUGAUAAAAGUGGUCGUAUUAGCAGUGGAUAAUAUAGAAUGGAGACAAACCAACAGUCAAUAAUGGUUCAGUUUCUUCAAACUACCUGUGAAAACAAGGCCUAAAAGAGCAUCCUUUGAAAGAACACAGAUUUCACCCUUGAACAUCAGUCAAGUAAACCAGGACAUAAUUUAGAAACACGAGCAUUUUUUGGCUAACCUGCUGUUUUAUUGGGGUUGUCGGCUGGCUUGGUGCUAAAGGUUUUGCAACAAGAGUGAAAGGCACUUCCUUCCUUGUAUGAAUUCAUGAAAGGUGGCAGAUUUACACUAGAACAACUAAGGAUUUGCCCAGCUGUUUUCCCAGAACCACACAUCCACUCAUACUCGCUGCUCCUCAGUCUCACAGCACCGCAUGAUUUCUUCUGUGAAGCCUCUGACUGGGAAGUAGCUGAGUCUAACUUCCAAAUCUGGGCCACACUGGAAUGGUUGGAAAGUUUUGUAAAGGAAAUGACUG